UACGGGGGGGGCAAGCGUUGUUCGGAAUUACUGGGCGUAAAGGGCGCGUAGGCGGCUUGCUAAGUCGGAUGUGAAAUCCCUCGGCUCAACCGAGGAACUGCAUCCGAUACUGGCGGGCUUGAAUCCGGGAGAGGGAUGUGGAAUUCCAGGUGUAGCGGUGAAAUGCGUAGAUAUCUGGAGGAACACCGGUGGCGAAGGCGGCAUCCUGGACCGGUAUUGACGCUGAGGCGCGAAAGCUAGGGGAGCAAACGGG
rnacentral:rRNA from 1 species